AAAUGAAGAAGAAGAGAGGUAGGAAAAGAGGUUGGAAAAAGCACAAUGGAAACACUGGGGCUGCGAUUAAAUCUGAAAAAAGUUCUUCCACGGUUAGAAAACAGGAAGCUAUUAACGGAAAUGAAGAACAAAAUAGGGUUUCUGAACCUGAAGCAGAGGAGAAACAGGGUGUUCAGAUGAAGAAGAAGAGUGGUAGGAAAAGAGGUUGGAAAAAGCACAAUGGGAACACUGGGGCCGCGAUUAAAUCUGAAAAAAGUCCUUCCACAGAUAGAAAACAUGAAGCUAUUAAAGGAAAUGAAGAACAAAAUAGGGUUUCUGAACCUGAAGCAGAGGAGAAACAGGGUGUUCAGAUGAAGAAGAAGAGAGGUAGAAAAAGAGGUUGGAAAAAGCACAAUGGAAACACUGGGGCUACGAUUCAAUCUGAAAAAAGUCCUUCCAGAGAUAGAAAACAUGAAGCUUCCAACUCC
rnacentral:lncRNA from 1 species